rnacentral:lncRNA from 1 species
GUCAUCAAGCGAAGUUAUUACACUGGGGACCAACACAGGUCACUUCUUUCAUGAGAGGCCACCAGGCUAAUCUUUUGAGACCUUCAGUGUUCUCCUUCAGAUAUUGUGACGAUGCAACUGGCAGGCACACAACAGCACACUCAGUCACUGUGCCUGGUGUCUAAGGAAACUGCCUUGUGGCUUUUUCCUUUCUGUCACCUGCAUGGGAGCGUCUAGAUUUCUGCUUGCCAUGGGGAGCCCGGAUAUCCAGUUGAUUUCCAGUGAGACUGUCCUCAGCUCCCAGACUUUGUGGCAGUGGAGCCUGUUCUUGUUGUGGGAAGGAAGAACGGUUGGUUGGAAGGCUGGCAGUCUACCCAGAAAAGGUGGCCUUCCCCAUGGAAAUCAGCAACUUGGCUUUCUGUGAUUCUCUAGACUUGGUUGAAGAAGUUCUUUGUGGCAGGAACCAAGUUUGUCUCAUUUUGACAGAAUCCCCAGCUGUUGACUUUUUCUGCUAUCCUGUGCAUUUUUUCAUCUCCAGAGAUAUCCGGAACUUUCCAGCUCUAAGCAAGGAAGCUUGGAACCAAAUCACCCAAUUUCUUCCUAAUACUCACAAGCCCAACCCCAGUUGAACAUAGCAGAGGACUGUGUACUAUAGAAGGACUUCAAGGUCAAGUGCUAAGGUUCCUGCUUCAAGAUUCGUGCAAGUUCUUUCCUGCAGAAGCCAUCUAUAGAAAAGGAACAUGUGUGUGAAAUUCGGCCUGUUUAAUCUGUCCCUGUAAUCAGCUUCCCCAAGCCUGAAUGCUGAGUCUAUAGAAGUUGCAAGACCAGGCUGCUUUUCUGCUCAUUCCUGCUUGAGAUUUGCUUGGCCUGCCGGGGCCCUUCUUCCUAACCUUAGCAAUGGGACUCCUUGAAAAGCCAGCGUUUUCCACCCCAAGUGAGAUCUUCCAUCAAAAUCAGACGCCCUAGAAAAAUAGAGCUUAGGCGAAGCAGCUUUUCUGAUCCCAUUAUUGAUAAGCUCUUAGAGCUCAUCAAUGAAAAUUAGAACUUGUUAAUCCUGUACAUUUCCCCCCUUGAUUUUUAAUUACAGAAGAAAGAAGUAAUGGAUAACUUCUGGGGCUGCAGAGACACUGAGGCUGUCAAGAGAAAAUUAAAUUUACAGUCAGAGAGUUUUGUUUUCUCAAGUGUCCUUGUAAAAUGCAAAAGAGGCUCCUGGCAUCACCAAGGCAAUUCAACUGGUUUCCUAAACUGGCAGGGUUUUCCUCGAAGAAGCCCUCCUUCGUUUGCCAAGAGAGUGUAUUAAUGACAAGGACUGGACCUAAAGGGAACUCAUUCAGAAGAAAACUGCAUUAAAAGAACAUUAAGGGCGAUGUUUUAAAGUCUGAUUUAAACUCAUGAAAGCAAGGAGAUUUAUUGUCGAAGCCAAAUCGCCGCGCUGACGCGCCCUGCCUGGUAAUGCAUUCUGAUUGGUGCACAGGGGAUUGAAUCUGUACAAAAAUAUCGCUCACUGUGGCCCAGGAGCUCCAGCUGGGGGAGAUGGGAGAUAGCUAUAGGGGGAUAUGAGCUAGGGACAGGCACAUUUCUCAAAGCAGAUGGACUAACAUCCCACAGGGACCAACUCACCAGGGAAGUAGGAGAAGGGCACUGCCAGCUGAGGUCAGCCUUAACAUUAGCAGACAAUUUAGCAGGCUUUGAGCUUCCCAGCAUAGGCCUGGGGCUUCUGGGGAGAUACUCCCUGGGAAACUGGAGGCUCAGCAGGA